rnacentral:misc_RNA from 1 species
GUUAGGUAGAAUAUAUGCAUAAGAUAAAUGUUAUUGAAAUGGGUUCAGACAAAUCUUGUAUAUCAGGAAUAUGAACUGAUGAAGAAUAUAGCGGUACAUGUAUUAGUACCCUGUUCAUCUGGCAUGAAAUCUACAGGUUUCCUUCUCAUCGUGUUACAAAAGAUGCUAUCUGGGUUUUGUUUGGUAAAAGAUUCCAAGAACUUGACCUGAUGAGGAUUCUAUGCCCUUGAUUGUUUUGGUGGUGGUGGCGGUGGUGACCAACUCUUGUAUCUCCAAUAUCUCAACUCUGCGGUUUGUCCUGUUCCUGAUUUUGAUUGCCACAUCCUGUGGGAUGAAUUUCCCAAACACACUUACCCUGCUCUGCUUCUUCUCUAUCAAGUGUGUCUCCAACUCUUGCAUAUCAGUAAGGGCUCUCCUUACUUUUCUGUAACAUCCAUUGCAGUCGAUGUUGAUCCUCAUCACCAUGCAGUAGAACUGCAUAGUGAUAAUUUUUUUGAAGAUUUAGUAAUGGGUUGGAAUGAUAAAAGAGAAACUUCUCUAACCCAAGUUGUUCUCCAGCUUCAAAUUGGCUGCUAGAGACGGAGGAAAUGCUUUUGGAAUAGAAAAAGCUAACUGUAUUUGAUUACUGAAAAGGCAUCGAAUUAGAUUUAUUGCAGUUGAUUUUGUGGGAAUUCUCCCUUUUUGAUGUGGAAUCUGAUCUCAAAAAUUUUUUAUGUGUUGGUGGAGGGGAAAGGCAUGGUUAGUGUUGUGGCUGUAGCGUAGCUUGCUCAUUAUUCUAGGCUUGUUCUGUUGACAUUGUUCAUGGAAUGUGCAGUUCUAGAGGAGAGCAUCUUUUUCUUGGGAAUGUGCAGAUCUCAAAUGGGGAAUUGCAACUGAUGAGUUAGAUAUAUUCGAAAGAAAUUUUUCAUGGGAUAUUCCAACAUAAAUUCUGAGUAGCAAUUCUUGUUGAAUAACAGAAACCAUCCCUCUUGUUUUUGUGUAUAGAAAUGGCCCAUUGCUUGAUUUAUGUAAUUAUCUGCAGAAUUAUACUCGGCUGCUUAUCAACAUCAUUAGCAUAAUAGGUUCUACAGCAUGAAAUUAACCAGAAUGAACACCAUCUCAGAUGACAUGCAUACAAAAGAUGCAAAACUUAUGUAUGGAAUGGAAAUAAAGCAACCCUGGAGGCUUUGGCAGAAGCAGCAGCAGAGGAACCUUUGGCACUAGAUUUACGAGUAAGGGUCACUUUCUUCUCUGCAACAUGCACCACAACAGAUUCAAUAUCAUCAAUUCUUGAAAUUGCAUCAGCCACCCUCUUUUGGCACAUGGCACAUCCUAAAUCAGCUGCUAAACCAACUUCCUCAACCUACAAUCAAUUCAAAAUUUGUCAGUGUAGGAUGUCAGAAAUUCAACAAAUACUAAAAAAUAUAAGAAAGAAAACUAACAGAAGAAGUAUCAAGGGGAGGAAGGAGUAGUCUAUUAUUGGAUUUGUAGGUUGUGAGUUUAGCAAGCUUGUUCUUAGCCCAAGAUGCCAUAAGAUCAUAUGUUUGAUUUCAAUGACUCAUCAUUAUGGACUCCAAGGAAUUAGAAAUAGAAGGUGAGGUAGAGAACAUAAUAUUGGACCAUUUUUUAUUGAGAAAACAUAACUUUUAGUUGUUGGAACAGCAAAG